GUUGGUUUUAGCCAUCCCAAUGCUGUACAUUUGUGUUCAUAUGAUUUUUAAGGUGUUUUAGCAAUUCAGCUGCGUCUAGUCUAUAGUAGAAAUUUGAUUUUCUUUCCGAAAAAACAUAAAAGGGAAGAAUAGAGAAAAAGGAAACGUCAAACUACAAGGUCAUUAGAAAUGCAGUUCAACACACUUUUAUCUUUUUCGUGCAUUCUAUUUGCUAAAAACAACCCAUCAGUGUGGCUGACGUCGCAAAACACGCAAACAAACAAAAAAUUUAUAAAAAACAAUGGUAUAAAUAAAUAAAAAGCAAAUAAUAAUAAUUUAGAAUAAA